AUGGCAGCAGCGCCGCCGUCGCUCCCGGACGAUCUCAUCCAAGAGAUCCUCCUCCGCUUCCCAACCGACGACCCUACCUGCCUCCUACGAUCCUCCCUCGUCUGCAAGGGCUGGAGCAACAUCAUUUUCCACCCCAGCUUUCGCCGCCGCCUCCACAAGAUCCACGAGGCAUCCCCCGUGCUCGGCUUCCUCCACGACGAGGCCAACGAGCGCACCCCGUACUUCAUCCCCACCACUGCGUCGUCCUUCUCCCUCGCUGCCCCGGACCACCGCUCGUGGCGGGCCCUCGAUUGCCGCCAUGGUCGUGCCCUCUUCCUGUCCAGAUCCCAGGAUGCCAAGGAACUCCUCGUGUGGGAGCCAAUCACGGGUACCCAAGAGCGUGUACCGCUGCCUGUAGCGUUCGAGUUUGGCUACUCGGCGGCGGCCGUGUUCUGCGCAGUGGAUAGGUGCGACCAUCGCGGCUGCCUUGGGGGUCCUUUCUGCGUGCUUUUCGUCUUCUCCUCCAAGGAAGACGCCGACGAGUAUGUAACGUCGGCAUGUGCAUACUCGUUAGAGAUUGGUGCCUGGGGCGGGAUGACCACAAUGCACGGCGAGUUCAUAGGGUUCACAAAAUAUUCAAGUGUGCUCAUUGAUAGCUCUUUGCUCUACUUCAUCGUCUACGACUACGUGGACACUGAGUCAAUCCUGGAGUAUGACUUGUCAAGGCAUGUUCUGACUAUAUUCAGCGUACCAGGCAACUAUUAUGACUGCACAUGUACUCUCAUGGUGACGGAGGACGGUGGGCUUGGAUUAAUCCAAGACUUGCGUCGGCAUCUCAAGUUGUGGACAAGAGAGGCGAGUGAUGGCACUGAUGCAAAAUGGUUGCUGAGCCGGGUCAUCUACCCGCACAAUUUGCUCCCAACCAGUGCUUUGUUGGAUGAAUGUUAUGUAGUGGCACUGAAGGCCUUUGCUGAGGGAGCAAAUGCAAUUUUUUUUACUACAGUUGUCGGCCUCUUUGCAAUUGAUCUACAAUCUGAGCUGGUGAUGAAGGUGUCCGACCAUUGUGGCUUCCGUUUCCAUAAAUUUAUUCCAAUUGUCACCUUCUACACUCCUGCGCCAAGAGGCGACCACCAGAAUCAACUGCUAUCGAAGCCUAGUGAGGAGGCAUGUAGUGGGGAGGGGGGAGAGGGGGAGAAAACAAUACAUCAGGCACACGAGCUGUUCAAUAAGGGGUCCAAUGCUAUCAAUGAGGGAGAAUUUGUCAACACCUUUGAAUGCAUCAGCCACGACAAUAUGUUAGGGUUCCGCAUCAUGAGGAAGUUGCUCUUGGAUGUGCUGCCACGUUCAAGAAAUAUGGAUGCACAUACAAUGCUCAAGAGGUGA
rnacentral:rRNA from 1 species